rnacentral:pre_miRNA from 1 species
UUGGAGGAUUGAAGACUUCAACUUGCAUACUUGAAGAAUUGGAAGACUUCAACUUUCAUACUUGGAGGAUUUGAAGACUUCUACU